rnacentral:rRNA from 1 species
UACGGGGGGUGCGAGCGUUGUCCGGAAUCACUGGGCGUAAAGGGCGCGUAGGUGGUUUGAUAAGGGUGUGGUGAAAGUCCGGAGCUCAACUCCGGAUCUGCCGUGCCGACUGUCAAACUCGAGGGCUGUAGAGGCAGAUGGAAUUCCGGGUGUAGCGGUGGAAUGCGUAGAGAUCCGGAAGAACACCGGUGGCGAAGGCGGCAUUCUGGACCGACAUUGACGCUGAGGAGCGAAAGCCAGGGGAGCAAACGGG